rnacentral:rRNA from 1 species
AGGACGAACGCUGGCGGCGUGCUUAACACAUGCAAGUCGAGCGGUAAGGCCUUUCGGGGUACACGAGCGGCGAACGGGUGAGUAACACGUGGGUGAUCUGCCCUGCACUCUGGGAUAAGCCUGGGAAACUGGGUCUAAUACCGGAUAUGACCUGCUCUCGCAGUGGGGGGUGGGUAGGAAAGUAUUUAGUCGGGUGCAGGAGUCGGGCCCGACGGCCUAUCAGUCUUGGUUGGGUGGGUAAUGGACCCUACCGAAGGCGACGGACGGGUACGCCGACCUGGAG